GGUUUCAUAGUGUAGUAGUCAUCACAUCUGCUUUACACGCAGAAGGUCCUGGGUUCAAUCCCCAGUGGAACCA
rnacentral:tRNA from 1 species